CCUACGGGUGGCAGCAGUGGGGAAUAUUGGACAAUGGGCGAAAGCCUGAUCCAGCCAUGCCGCGUGUGUGAAGAAGGCCUUCGGGUUGUAAAGCACUUUCAGUGGGGAAGAAAGCCUUGGGGCUAAUACCCUCGAGGAAGGACAUCACCCACAGAAGAAGCACCGGCUAACUCCGUGCCAGCAGCCGCGGUAAUACGGAGGGUGCGAGCGUUAAUCGGAAUUACUGGGCGUAAAGCGCGCGUAGGCGGUCUGAUAAGCCGGUUGUGAAAGCCCCGGGCUCAACCUGGGAACGGCAUCCGGAACUGUCGGGCUAGAGGGUAGGAGAGGAAGGUAGAAUUCCCGGUGUAGCGGUGAAAUGCGUAGAGAUCGGGAGGAAUACCAGUGGCGAAGGCGGUCUUCUGGACUGACACUGACGCUGAGGUGCGAAAGCGUGGGUAGCAAACAGGAUUAGAUACCCGGGUAGUC
rnacentral:rRNA from 1 species